rnacentral:rRNA from 1 species
GAUGAACGCUGGCGGCGUGCCUACUACAUGCACGUAGAGCGACCAGACGAGGAGCUUGCUCUUCUGCCGUUAGCGUCGGACGGGUGAGUCCCCCGUUGUUAACCUACUUACUAGACUCAGAUAUUUUCGGGCCUCCGGCGCUCAUACCGGAUAAUCUAUUCAACCGCAUGGUUCCUUAGUGAUAGAGGCUUUUGCUGUCACUUCUAGCUGGAUCCGCGCAGCAUUAGCUAGUUGGUACGGUACCGGCUUAUCAAGGCAAUGAUGCGUAACCGACCUGAGAGUGUUGACGGCCACACUGAGACGGAGACACGGUCCAGACUCCGACGGGAGGCAGCAGUAGGGAAUCUUCCGGAAAGGGCGAAAGCCUGACGGAGCAACGCCGCGUGAGUGAUGAAGGUCUUCGGAGCGUAAAACUCUGUUAUUAGGGAAGAACAAAUGUGUAAGUAACUAUGCACGUCUUGACGGUACCUAAUCAGAAAGCCACGGCUAACUACGUG